UGGGGAAUAUUGGACAAUGGGGGUAACCCUGAUCCAGCCAUGCCGCGUGUGUGAAGAAGGCCUUAUGGUUGUAAAGCACUUUAAGCGAGGAGGAGGGUACUGGUAUUAAUACUACCAGCUACUGGACGUUACUCGCAGAAUAAGCACCGGCUAACUCUGUGCCAGCAGCCGCGGUAAUACAGAGGGUGCGAGCGUUAAUCGGAUUUACUGGGCGUAAAGCGUGCGUAGGCGGCUAAUUGAGUCGGAUGUGAAAUCCCCGAGCUUAACUUAGGAAUUGCAUUCGAUACUGGUCAGCUAGAGUAUGGGAGAGGAUGGUAGAAUUCCAGGUGUAGCGGUGAAAUGCGUAGAGAUCUGGAGGAAUACCGAUGGCGAAGGCAGCCAUCUGGCCUAAUACUGACGCUGAGGUACGAAAGCAUGGGGAGCAAACAGG
rnacentral:rRNA from 1 species